GCUUGCUAUACAAUGUCAAGGCCGAAAGAUGUUCGACUGGGACCAACCACAAACUGAGGCCGCAGGAGCAGUCGUCGCAUCGUCAGAAAGCUCGUUUCGCAUCAGUUGAAUUCUAACACGUUUCUGCAUUUAUCAAGUGCAACGACGAGUCUUCCAACAGACGUCGGGAAACAGGUGAUGUCGGUAGAAAGCACUUUACAAUCCCCGCUUCUUCAGGACGGACAGGCAGAUUGGCGUGAGGAGGUGAAACGAGGCAACAGACAAGGCCAAGGUUGUAUGGUAAGUUCAACAAAAUUAUGCGCACUUUGGAAAAAAUAUUGACUCACCUGGCUUUGACCAACUCGAUAAGAUGCAGGAUCGACAUCGACG